UUGCUAGGGCCGCUCCCUUAGGCCCAGUGGCUGCAGACCUGCCGGGGCGCAGAGAUGGAGAUGCCCAGAUGGCAGGGAGAGAUCCUAAACCCUCAGCCUUGCCCUGGCCCACCGCGGAAUGGCCCGGAGAGAUGGGGGGUUGGGGAAGAACAACAGGAUGGGGAAGGGAGGGCCAAUCAGGCUCAUCUGAAUGUAGGUCAGCCACACCCCACAUAUUGAAUACCAAGAAUCCAUCCCCUGAGAAAGGGCACCCAGGCCGGCCCUACCCCCAGCCUCGCGUCUGGUCCAAGGAGGUCCCAGGGCAGGAAUUAGAAGAGCAUGUCACUAUAUUUCCAGUUGGGGAGGGGUGCUGAGUCUGAGUGAGGAGGUGGUUUCAGUGCCAGGAGGAAUAGAAACUGGCCUGCGGACUGAAUGGGCCUUGAACCCCUGUGACCACUCCCUUCAAGAAUGUGCCCCAACCUUACGGACAAGUGACUCAAAGGAGCCUGAGGGGGAUGGGAGCAAGGAUUUGGCGCCCUUCCUGUAAAACCUGGCUGACACACAAACCUAGCUGGGGUGAGGCUCCAGGUGUGAUGAAAGUUUGGAGUUGCCCCAUGAAUGGGACUGAGGCUGAUGUGGGGGUGAGAAGGCGGAAGGACAGAGCAUGUGAAGGGAGAAAGGCAGGCUGGGGCAAGAGAGCAGGGUGUGACUCUGGCGAGGGUGGGGGAAAGGGGGUGAUUUGACCAUGUGUCAGGAAGUGUUUCUCUCCACCCUCCCCUGGGGAGAGCCUUGACCCCAAGGUGGCUUUGUUUUGGGGAAGCAGGUGGCCAGGCAGCUGCUGAGGGAGGGCAAAGUCAUGGCUUGGGCGGUGACCAUGCACUGAGGUCCUAGGCCCGAUACUCAUCACCCAAAAGGAUAAUCUAACAGUGGCUCUUAGCCAAAUAGGUGACAGGUGAGCUUCUGUCUGAAACCAGCCCAACUAUAUCAUAAAGCCUCAGAUAUGGCCUAGGGGAAGGCAAGCGAUCUAGAGAAGUGAGAGAAAAGAGGCCUCUAAGGAAAUAGAGUGGUCAAGUGCUUAGUGAUUAUUAUUAACAGCAACAAUAAUAAUGGGUCACAUUUAUUGAGAGCUUAUAGUGUGCCUGGCACUAUACUAACUACUUUUAUGUGUUCCCGCAUUCAUUUCUCAAAAAGCUCCCUACAAAGUAGU
rnacentral:lncRNA from 1 species